rnacentral:rRNA from 1 species
AACGAACGCUGGCGGCAUGCCUAACACAUGCAAGUCGAACGAGACCUUCGGGUCUAUUUGCGCACGGGUGCGUAACGCGAGGGAACCUUCCCUUAGGGUCGGAAUAACUUCCCGCGGGGGGUACUAAUACCGGAUAAUUGCUUCUGACGAAUGAUGUAUCUACAUGGGAUGGUCCCGAGUGGGAUUAGCUAUUGGGUAAGGUAAAGGCCAACCAAGGCUGCGUUCCAUAGCUGGUCUGGGAGGACGGCCAGCACCACUGGGAGCGUGACACGGCGCAGACUCCUGGGGGAGGCAGAAGUGGGGAAUAUUGGACGACGGGCGAGAGCAUGAUCCAGCAAUGCCGUGAGAGUGAUGAAGGCGUUAGGGUUGUAAAGCUCUGUUAAACGGGAUGAUAAUGACAGUACCGGGAGAAUAAGCGCCGGCUAACUCCGUG